UUUCCGUAGGUGAACCUGCGGAAGGAUCAUUAACACUAAUUUUACAAAUACAUUGUAGUUCCAUUUUUUGAGAUUUAUCUCGAUUUUGGACCUCGUGUAUUUCCCAAAAACUUACCCAAACUUUUUUGAAAGUGCUGGUUGAUUUGAUGUCUUUUUGCUCUGUGAGCAAAAAGAAGAUCAGAUCACUUUUUCCAUUUCUUUUUACAAAAAACAACCCCAAAUCUUUCUUUGCGAAUGCAAAUGACAAUUACUAAAAACAAAAUAACUACUUUAACGUAACCAAACAACUCUUAGCAACGGAUAUCUUGGCUCUC
rnacentral:misc_RNA from 1 species